GUGCGAGACCGAUAGCGAACAAGUACCGUGAGGGAAAGAUGAAAAGAACUUUGAAAAGAGAGUAAAAGAGUACCUGAAACUGCUGAAAGGGAAGCGAAUCGUAUCCAGUGUCUAUAAUCUGCGGCAUAUUUCAUUGGCGGCAGUGUGCGUGCUUUUGCGUCGGAAGCGGCUUUUGUUGCUCUGUGCUUUUGCUGUGCGUGCUGUUGCUGGUGCCCUGUGUUGCGGUGGGACGUCAGAGUCAGUUCGUAUGCUGCGGGAAAUGGCCGCCGAGGAGGUAGGUCAGGACUUCGGUCUUGGCUGUUAUAUCUUGGUGGUUUGUUGUCGUGGUUGGGACUGAGGUGCCUACAAUGUGCUUUUGAGUGUGCCGGGUUCUCAUUUGGUGGACUGUUUGGAUAGCUUGCUAUGCUUGUGGUUUUUUCAUCGAGUGAUUGAGUCUGGUGGUAACUUGUUGCUGUUCGGGACUUUGAA
rnacentral:rRNA from 2 species